GGAUGUGAGGGUGAUCUGGCUGAGACAUCUGUCACCCCACUAAUUACCAGGGUUGAUUUGGCUGAUCUGGCUGACUAGGCCCUUCCUCACUCACCAUUCCACACGCUCCCCCCAAGCUGUGUGCUCUGUCAGAGAGGAUGAUCACCUUGAUAAAGGAAGAUCGUUUCCUCAGUCAAGAGUAUACAAGUAGCUGCAUUACCCUGCUAGAACCUCCAAACUAGCUCACAAAAAAAAACCAGCACUAAAUUGUUCAGAGAUACAUACAUUACCAGUAAGUUAGACAUAAAGCAAGAAAUGAUUAUCAUAAAAAUUUAGAUGCUGGGCACGGUGGUACAUGCCUGUAA
rnacentral:snRNA from 1 species